GGCGGCGCCACGGCGGGGAGCGCGGCCCGUCGUCCCGAGGCAGCGAGCGGGCACCGAGCGGGAACGGCAGCCUGCCACAGCCGGCCUCCUGGAUGCGGCCUGUGCCACACGGAACCAGCGAACUGAUCCAAGGGGACAGGGAAGUCAGUGUGGGCGGCUCUAAGGAAGCCCCUUCUCUACAGCUGCAGCUCAGAGGAUUAGAAAGCUUCAUCCACAAGGCAACAUUACACAAGUAGCCUUUGAACAAAAGUCAUGGAUACUAUUAAUGAUAUGGUAAUCCUUAAUCGAGCUACCUCCCAGUAGUGAUUAUACUGACAUGGGAAGAAUAUCUAAGUCGUGGAAGCAGCCCACAACAACACUGUGCUAUUGUUCACCCCAAGCUUGACCAGGACUAACUUUUACCAGCAUCUCUAACGUCACCUUUUUCUCCCUAUGAAGAAAAUGGGAAAGAAAAACCCUGAUCCUAAAUCUUUUUUUGGGAUUUGCUUUUUGCAAGUUCCCACACACAUUUAGUGUCAUCUCAAAAUUCAUGCUGCCAACGGCAUCAAGGAACCGUUUUCAUCCGAGACCAAGACCACACAAAGGUUACUUCUGUAGGUCUCAGUGAAGAUGUUUUAAUUGGCUGACAAAAGAUGCUUUGGUCAUUUGACUUGCAAAUAUUGGUCUCUUGCUCUCAGAUACCUCAUACAGAAUUACAAAAAUUGUCAUUAAAUUUAUGAGCACUCCUUAAUUACUUUUGCUCAACUGCCAGCAAGUGACCAUUUGAUGUGAAGGCAAAAUCCUGAACAGCAGGGUCAGACCCCUGGCUGCUACUCCUCUCAUAGCCAUCUCCAGACUGCCAAGAGAUAAUUUAGCUUCACAACAACUUCCCCUAGUGAACGGCUGGGGAUACACUAUGAAGAAGCAGCAGAUACACAACUUCUAAAUACAGAAGGAGGCAAAUAAAAAUCUGAGGUGUGAAAGAAGAGAAAAGAAGAGCUUCUUUGCAGAACUGGCUGCAUACCGACAAGUCACACACUUUCCCCAGAGAGAAAAAACACUUUUCCUCUUGCCAUAUUGUAUAACUUUGGUCAUUAUAAUAAGGGGAUGUAAUUAACGUAAAUAAAACCACUAAACUUACAAACAGCUUUAUGGGGACUUUAUUUUUAUGCAGUUAUUUUACAACAAGAGUUAGUGUUUUCUAAACAGCUGCUUUAAAUAAUUAACUUGAAUAUUCUGAUUCAUCUAACACUCCCCCAAAGAUUAAAAAUAUCGAUGCCCUAGAGUUGCCCUACUAAUUUGUAGAAAUAUACACCGGUGUCGAUUGCCUUUAUGACAGCAUGUAUUUUGGUAUUCAGAUGAACAGGGUGACCUGCUCUGUAAGCACUAGUUUUCAGAAGGAUCCGUUUGUAAAGUGGAAUCACACACAGCCGCAAUAGCUAGGAAACAGAUAUAUUUGCCUAUUUUUUUCAAGCAACCAGAACAUUUUAUCCAAGAAAGGUGCAGUCUAAGUGUAAAUUAUGGAUCCACUUCCCCCUCACACAUCUACUUAGGUAUAUAUUGUCAGAGUCCUUUUAUUGUUAAUUUGCAAAACCUUCCAUACCUCCCUCCAGCACACUCAUCAAGCCAACGCUUGAGAGCAAAAGCAUUAAAAUAGGUGCCUGUUUUUUAUUUGUAUUUGACUUGACUGCAAAUUUGUCAGGACGAAGAUUGCUUGCAUGUCUUCUUAUACCACCAGGCCCAGAGACAAGUCCACAGACUAUCUCCUUACUUGCUGUUUAUCUCCAUCUUUGCAACACUCCCUGUGUAUUCCACCCCCUUGCUUUGCAGAAAGAGCAGAGAGUUUCCAGGGGAGAUCUCAGAGAGGCACAGAAUCCCUGAGAGAAAGAUUGUGAGAGACACCACAGUACAAGCCAACAUCCCACAGAAGAGAGAGAAGAGGAGAGCAGGUCAGUAGGACAGUCACUUAACUGAAGAGCAGCAAGACUGCAAGACCUGCAGACUUGCACUGAGGAAAAGCCUUGUGCAGUUGAGGGACAGACCUGGAUGUGGCAUGUGUGAGCUAAGUGAGGGAGCUGCUGUUCAAACAGAGCAAUGAGGACCUGCAACCCUGCCAGGUUCAUCCUCAAUGUCUCAGCUUUCAAGUUAUAAUAAAAACUUAUUGAACUGUAACAUAAUGCUGCUCUGACCCACCUCACUGACUUAACCUUUCUACCUACCUCUCUGAUCUUCACCUGUCGUUUUUCUCUCUUUUUCCUUCUAGCUACUCUGUCAGUUGGAGAGUCUCCUUGCUAUCUGGCUUUCUGCUAGACUUUUUCUGCCCUAUCUAAAUUUCACAGCACUUAAAUCACAUCUGAAAAGAGUAUUUCUUUAAACAUUCCAUUUUCUUCCCUUUCCAACUUAACACUGUGAUUACAGUAUUUAUUUUUCCAAGCCUGUUGGAAGCCAAUUAGGGAAAGAAACCUAACACCCUCAAGCUAGAAAACUAAUGAAAAUGGAGCUCUAUUGAAGUUGGCUGACCCACAGGCCUGGCUGAGAGUGCAGAAUUAAAAACAACCCAAUGGACAUUGCAGCAGGGGGCUGUGCCUGACAGCCGGGCAGGGAAGAGAAGCCUGUGUAUGAGAACAUUCACCUCCUACAUUUGUUUAGAAUUUAGGAUGACAACGGGGAAAAGAGGGUUAUUUUUAGAGGGUAAGAAGUUCAAGGGCGUGGGAGGUCUUGGAAGGACAAGACUAAGUCUUACCUUGUAGCUGACCUCUCACCUUAGCUCCUCAAAUAUGACACUUAAGGUUGACAUUCAUCCUUCAUCUUUGUCACUCCUGCCUAUUAUCACAAACAGUCUCUGAAAUCUGGCAUAGGCUGUAGCUACCAAUGGAACUCUACAAAACAUCAAAAACAGCCUUUUAAAAGCUCAUCUGCAAGGCAAAAUAACCGUUCUGCAGUUAUCUGACUCGUGCUUUUCACCAGAGUGACUUAUGUCAGAGUGACUAAUGAAGUAAUCAUCUAGGAAUAGAUAGAUAUUUUAGCACUCUAAUACAGUAUGUCAAUUUAAAACAAAACAAAACAAAACAAAAAAACUGCCAGGGCAAAUUAUUUAGGAUUUUCACAUUUGGGAGUGGGUUUAACCACUGUUUUCACUGUCAUUUGGGUUAAUGCUGAACACUUCUCGAAUCCUACCCUAGUUCUGUGAACACACAGGGAAAAGAAGCUGGUGCCUUCAUUCUGCUGUUACAUCUCCCUUCUAUCUUGUGCAUGCCGACAGCCUGCUACCACUACAGUAAAUAUUUGCAUAUCGAGCAGCAAGAGCCAAGCUACUGACGUACUUCAUUUCUAGGGUAGCUUCAUUCUCUUUGGGUGUAUGAGCAGUAAACACCACUACAGCAUGGCUAAUUAAGUCUACAGUGUGCACCAUGAGUAUCAAAUGAACACCUAUUGCAGCAUUUGGGUAAUAUGGUGAUAUGGUCUACAGAUAUCUUCAAUUAGGUCAACUAAACAGUAGGAGAAAACAAACCAACUUUGAGUGCAUAAUCCUUUUCUAAUCUUUCAAAGGUAAUAUAUCAAAUAUUACUUUUCCUUUUAAAAUUUGUCUCACGUCUAAUACACCCAUAGCAGAUUCUGAAUAACUUCUGUCUUUAUUAAUCCACUUAUCGUCACCACUAGCAUGAAAUGUGAUUAUAGAGAAAGAAGAUACUUUUUGCCAUUCUUACAGUAAAUUCUGUAUUGUCCAUCUAUGACUGUGGGCAAAGGUUUCCACAUUAUCCUCACUGAUUAUAUUCCUUU